rnacentral:rRNA from 1 species
AACGAACGCUGGCGGCAUGCCUAGCACAUGCAAGUCGAACGAGACCUUCGGGUCUAGUGGCGCACGGGUGCGUAACGCGUGGGAACCUGCCCUUAGGUUCGGAAUAACUCCCCGAAAGGGGUGCUAAUACCGGAUAAUGUCUUCGGACCAAAGAUUUAUCGCCUUUGGAUGGGCCCGCGUUGGAUUAGCUAGUUGGUAGGGUAAAAGCCUACCAAGGCGACGAUCCAUAGCUGGUCUGAGAGGAUGAUCAGCCACACUGGGACUGAGACACGGCCCAGACUCCUACGGGAGGCAGCAGUGGGGAAUAUUGGACAAUGGGCGAAAGCCUGAUCCAGCAAUGCCGCGUGAGUGAUGAAGGCCUUAGGGUUGUAAAGCUCUUUUACCCGGGAUGAUAAUGACAGUACCGGGAGAAUAAGCGCCGGCUAACUCCGUG